GCGCGUCUGCCUCCCUCCUCUCCUCCCUCCUCAGCCGCCCGGACCGGGGUUGAGCGAGGUUCUUCACCUUGCCAGGCGUCUUGGCACAGCCCAUAUCUGAACCCUUUUCUUGAACCCCUGUUGACAUCUUACCUAACCUCUGGUCCUCGGAUUCCUCACCAGUAAACUCCACGCCUGCUUAGUUCAGACCUUUGCACUUGGGGUCCUAUUCACCAACAGCUGGAGAAGCAGCUCAGUCUGCUGGUACCAGGCAUGGGGGAUCAUGACAACUCACUCUUCCAGUGAAAUCAUGCAUUCAUCAAGGGGAAAUUGCAUCGGAAAGAGCUCCUACUGGAUUCUAAAGUCCUUGAUCUUAGGGACCCUUGUCCCCUGCUCACUGGCCCAUCUCCAGCAGCCCAGAACUUUGCCGAGCA